UAAAUCAAUUAUUGGCGCCCGGCCCAAGCACACACGCAAUAGAGAGGGAAUGGGCGAAUCAUCAGCGCGUAAUAUGGCGCGCAGACCGGAGGAAGAUCGGAAAAUGGUUCAUCUUCAUCGGAAACCAACAAAAUAAUCUCCAUUCCACCUUGCCACGUAUGCUUUUUGGCACCAGAAUUCCCCUUACCACGUGUCCAUACACUAUUGGAUAAUUGCACGUGUGUGUAACCGCACUGGAAGUGGAAGGAAUCACCACUACUUUUGAGUCAGUAAAAAGUCUGUGCACCAACAAACCCACCCACUCACACCAUCCUUUUAUGAUUUUAUCUCGUUUGUUUGUUACUUUGUCAUCUUCCUCUCUCGCCUCUUUCAUUUUGUUCAUCCUACCUACGUACUAUUUGCCUUCACUGUCUUUUAAAAGAUCUCUUCGAAUUCUCUGAAUUGGAGAAGACAGAUAGGGUUUCGACUUUGGAGGAUGAAGCUGGAGAUAAAAGCUGACGAAGAUGAUGAUAGCUAGGGCUUCGAAUUCCUUUUUGGCGCGUCGUUUUGAGUUGAAGAAGAGGAGGAGAUGAAAAUUAAGGUCGUUGCAUGCUUUUCCACGGCUUUCUUGAACUUGGUACUUAUGACUGUAUCUGUUUUCUUAACUAGAUAAUUCAAUAACAUACAAAUCUCAGUAGUCAGUGCGAAGCUCAAGAAAGCCGUGGGAAAACAUGAAAGGAUUUUGUUGUAAUUGUAUUUUUUGUUAAUUUUAUAUGGCCUUCUUCACGAGGUAAGGUAAGUUUCACACACUGCUCAUCUUCAUCUUUUCUCACUGAUCUCUAAACCUAGGGAUAUAUAUACAACGUCAUUCUUUCCAUUUUUACACAGAUCUGGCCUUGGAAAUGCAAUUUAUUGAGCACUUAUAAUUGUGGAAAUAUGGAGAUGAUUUUCAUCUUGAUUGUGGUGGAUUUAUAUUAUGAUGUACAGUUAUCAAAUUUCUACUAUUAGUUACGGAAAAUCCAUGGUGGUUUCACAGAAAUCAAAUAUUCUGUCCAUGGAUUCAGCUUCAUCUCAAUGAUCUGAUGACAUUUUGCUUUGUGAUUCACAUUUUUUUUUUUUUUGCACUGGUUUACUUUUUACUUCUCCAUAGACCAUCUCCAUACAUGUGAAUUUUCGAGAAGGUUUUGCUUGUUCAUACACCCAUAUAUAGCAGUUCUUCUCAAUUCUAGCUCAAAACAACAGGUUUUUUCUUUCAUCCUCAGUACUCCAUGAAACUUAAAAAGUCUAGAGCUAUGCAUUUAAUUGAGAGAACAUACUGUUGGUUGGGCACAUGUGGUGUUACCACUGCGGAAUUAAAAAUCUUUUUGUUUGAUUUUGGGGCAAAAUAAUGAAUAAUGUUGUUUCUUUUUGUUGGCGGGACAAGGUGGGAGGGUGAAAAUCUAAUGGUGGACCCUAAAUUGUCUGUCCAUGAACGGCCAAAUUGUCAGAAAAGUUCUUCUGAUGGUACCUGUUUUCCAUAGUUAAUCUUCAGUUUCAAUACUUCGACUUGGAUGGAGGGAGGAGAUUAUCAGGUCUGAAGGCUUCAAAGGGCUUUGAUAUACUGAGAGAAGCUUUCUUGCUUGGAUAUGGAAUUUAACUAAAUUGCAGUCUUUGAUUCUUUUCCGUAUUAAUUAUCAGGUCUUAAAGCUUCUGUUUUUAAUUUUUAUACUAUUUUACAAAUAAAAUGGAAGAUAUAUAUAUGUGCAUAUAAGACGUCAAAUUGUUUGUAUGGUGUUGUGAUUUGUUGUGUAAGCAUAACAAAAGAAAUGGGUGAUAGAAAUGUAAAAGAUUAAUAUAUAAAAACUAAUUCAAUUUUUCAAAGCUUGCGAACCCCAUUCAAAUGAAGGAGGGGUGGGCAAUAUACAUA